UUAAUGGAGAGUUUGAUCCUGGCUCAGGACGAACGCUGGCGGCGUGCCUAAUACAUGCAAGUCGAGCGGAUCUUUAAAGGUGCUUGCACC
rnacentral:rRNA from 1 species